rnacentral:rRNA from 1 species
AGAGUUUGAUCAUGGCUCAGGAUGAACGCUGGCGGCGUGCCUAACACAUGCAAGUCGAACGAAGCUCCUGCGACAGAUUCCUUCGGGAUGAAGAUGCUUGAGACUUAGUGGCGGACGGGUGAGUAACGCGUGGGUAACCUGCCCUGUACUGGGGGACAGCAGUUAGAAAUGACUGCUAAUACCGCAUAAGCCUACGGAGUCGCAUGACUCAGCAGGAAAAAUUCCGGUGGUACAGGAUGGGCCCGCGUCUGAUUAGCUAGUUGGUGAGGUAAUGGCUUACCAAGGCGACGAUCAGUAGCCGGNUUGAGAGAGUGAACGGCCACAUUGGGACUGAGACACGGCCCAAACUCCGUACGGGAGCA